rfam:Bombyx mori DNA, contig: Bm_scaf9_contig7943, strain: p50T/Dazao, build 2, whole genome shotgun sequence.
UUAACUCAAAUUUGUAUGGAGUUAGAACAUAUCCCUACGUUUGCCGCUAGGGGCGCUGUUCUAACUCCAUACAAAUUUAAGUUA